rnacentral:misc_RNA from 1 species
GAUCACCUUGAGCAAGGUACGCCUCCGCAUUGACAUGGCGCGCUAAAUUAGUAUAAAUUAAAAGAAAUUACCAAUUACAGAGCAAUUCAAAACAGGAAAAUAUUUAAAAGAAGAAAGGCAGAAGGCUUUCUUUUUCAAUUUUCCUCGCUGUUUAUAACUUUUCAUGAAGAAAGCCAGAGCGAGAGAGAGAGAAAGGAAGAACGGAGGAGGAAGAGAGAGAAAGAGGAGAAGAAGAAAAAAG